rnacentral:rRNA from 1 species
GGGGUUAGCGUUGUUCGGAAUUACAGGGCGUAAAGCGCAUGUAGGCUGACUGGAAAGUUGGGGGUGAAAUCCCGGGGCUCAACCUCGGAACUGCCUCCCAAACUACAAGUCUAGAGUUCGAGAGAGGUGAGUGGAAUUCCAAGUGUAGAGGUGAAAUUCGUAUAUCUUCGGAGGAACACCAAUGGCGAAAGCUGCUCAGUGGCUCGAUACUGACGCUCAGGUGCGAAAGUGUGGGGAGCAAACAGGAUUAGAUACCCUGGUAGUCCACACCGUAAACAAUCAAUGCCAGUCGUCGGCAAGCACGCUUGUCGGUGACACACCUGACGGAUUAAGCAUUCCCCCCGGGGAGUACGGUCGCAAGAUUAAAACUC